CUAAUCAAUUCCAUUUUUGGUUUUCCUCCCCUAGCACUGGUUCUAAGGUGGUCACUGCUCAGGAGUUUCUGCUCUGGUUUUAGGUGAUUGCUGAGUAGGGAUCAAAUCUUCGGUCCUUAUCUCCUCAACUGCACCCACAGUGUUGGGUUGGAGGCAGGAAGCCCCUGACUCUUAGCCCCUGACAUGGCCGAGAUGCGCCCCCCUCAGAGGCCGCAUUCGUAGGAAGAAGAAAUGCAUGUGUGGAUCUGAUAAGGUCCCAGUGAUAUCUGGAGAAGAUGUCCUAUUAGUGAGGAUCAGCGAUGUUUACCAUUUCAGUGCACAGAAGCAAGCCAAGAUAACAGUCGGAGAGUCUGUGGACAGAAGUUCAUGGAGAUCACUGCUUGACAGGUCAGGGUAAAGGUCUCUUUCUUUCAAAAUAUGUGAAGGGUCAGGAAACGUGUGUACCAGGUGUUUUGUGUUCAUGGCUGCCUGGGAAAGAUAAUUCUGUCUGCUCGAUAAGAACAUUGUGCUCCACACAUCAGGUUGUUUUUUCCAACAGCUAUUUUCUGCCUAUAAAAAUGAGCGCUGCUGGCUCCCAACUUCUUUCCACAAAUCCCUCUGGCUACAAACAAUAACAAAAGGUAUCUUAUAUUUAUACAAAGCUGUCCUCGGAAAAGCUCAAGGACCUGAACGAAGCUUUUUUUUUUUUUUUUUUUUUUUUAAUAUAAGGAGCUCUUGUAUAAUCCCCUAGGGGGAAAGGAGCAGAGUGUGACAAUUGUCACUCCCAGCGAACAAAACCGAAAACUGAGUUCCCACCACACGCCACAGCGAAGGGCACCCCCGGCACAGGAAGUCCGUUUUCCCUACUUCCGGCCCAGGGUUCUGCACUCGGCGCAGCACCGCCUCGUUAGAAACCCCGGAUGAUCUGGAAACCCAGAGGAGACCACUAGCAAAGAAAGAUGGGGAGAGAAAAUUCCCACCGCCUGAAGUGACUGUCUCACAGCCUUCAGUGACUCUUGUUCUCACUGAUCAGGAUUCUGCAACCCCUGGAGAAAGAAAAGGCAAGGAUGCCUGGAAAUAGCUGCAUCUAAUCAGCCCCCAUCCCAAGCAAUCAACUGAAGUCCAGGAAAUUCCAUAUGUAACCAGAAGAAUAGACUUCCUGGAGCAUUUUGCCACAGUUAAGAUUAGCGGAAACAGACCCCCAUCAGAGCUCCUAACAAAGAACUAAAGGUCUUAUCCACCCUUCCAGAAGGAUUAUGUGGUUGACAGGAUGGCAGCACACUGAAGACAGGAACUCUUGUUUUAUUCAGCUUUAAAACACAACUCUAUAUUCACUGCCAAUGUCCUGAGCCCCGGUGUUGUAUACCAUCCCUCACUGCUGUUGUGGAGUCCGGAGAUUUAAAGAAGUGUACAUGAGCCAAUGAUUCAAUUCCAGUGGAAAAAGAAAGAAACUGAGGUGCGGAGAGGUUGCCCGACUUGUGCAAAGUCAUGUGACCAGUUGGGGCAGAACCUAGAUGUGAAUCGUGAAUUUUGGUGGCAGACUCUCCGCUGUGGGCUCCUUCACAGCAGCAGUGAAGUAGUUGAGUAGAUGGAUGGAGGAAAUGGAAGAAGAUGUUUCACAUCAGAAAAAACAGUGUCUAUUUUAUGAUAGUCUAUGCAAUCGACUUAUUUACUGUACUUACUGCUUAUUGUCUACUUCUCUGAACUAAAUAUAAAUUCACUGGGGGCUUGAUGCCUUUUGAGUGUGAAAAGGGGAUGCAACAAGCUAAGUUUGGGUGCUUGCAGGCCACAACAACUCAGAGAAGCAGGAGCUAUCUUGCCAGUUGGCAGGACUUGUGGUGAGUGCACAGGGUCAAGGAUGCACCGGGUGGGGAGCGCUGUCUCAGCCAGAUGAUGCAUUACUGUCUCAAAGAUUAUUUUCAUGUCCCGUUGGCAGUGGACUCUGAUACCAUCAAAUGCACCAUGAAAUGUGCAGGACCCAUCCUUGCUCCAGGGUCCUCAGAGGUAUUCACCAUAUUCAUUACAUUCCUCUUGGACACACAGAAAUGAAGCAAAACAUAAGGAAUUGGCCUCUGAUAGUUAUCAAGGAUCAAAGAGAAAAGGUCUGGUGUCAGUAGGCAGAUGUAUCAACAAAUGCUUUUAAGAUGAAGGUGGAUUUCUGAGCCCUGAGAACUGUCCCUUGGUAUGAACUCUCAUGAAGUCAGAAGAUGGCAAGCCAGAAAAUGUGGACCAUGCUCCAAUCAACAAGGUCAGCAAAGAAUUCCCAUGCAGGAAGUCAUCUAUUUUUAAUAUUGCAAUUGCUUUCCUGUUUUCCUUUAUUCGGUAUGUUACCACAGGAGCCCCAUUCCAAGAGUUUUGUUUGAAUGUU